GGCUCCGUAGCUCAGUUGGAUAGAGCAACAGAUUUCUAAUCUGUGGGUCGUGGGUUCGAAUCCCUCCGGAGUCG
rnacentral:tRNA from 1 species